rnacentral:rRNA from 1 species
GAUGAACGCUGGCGGCGUGCCUAAUACAUGCAAGUCGAACGAAAAGACGAGGAGGUUGCUCCUCUGACGUUAGCGGCGCGCAGGUGUGUGAAAUGUGGAUAAACGUCCUAUAUGGCUGGGAAAAAUUAGGGAAAAGGGUGCUUAUUACGGAUAAUGUACUGAACCGGAUGGUUGGAUAGUGAAAGACGGCAUUGCUGUCGCUUCUCGAUGGUUUGGCGCCGCAUUAGCUGGUUGGUAAGGUAAAGGCUUACCAAGGCAACGAUCGGUAGCCGACCUGAGAGGAGGAUCGGCCACACUGGAACUGAGACACGGUCCAGACUCCUACGGGAGGCAACAGUAGGGAAUCUUCGGCAAUGGGCGAAAGCCUGACGCAGCAACGCCGCGUGUGUGAUGAAGGUCUUCGGGUCGUAAAGCACUGUUAUCAGGGAAGAACAGAUGUUGAAGUAACUAUGGGGUCCUUGACGGUACCGGAUCAAAAAGCAACGGCUAACUACGUG